rfam:Paenibacillus sp. oral taxon 786 str. D14 genomic scaffold supercont1.6, whole genome shotgun sequence.
ACCAGAUAAGGGUAAACCUGUUGAAAAGCAGGGGCACAAAGUCUCAGAUCUAAGGUAGGAAUACUAAGAUGGCUGGACUGCCUGG